rnacentral:rRNA from 1 species
CAAUAGCGUAUAUUAAAGUUGUUGCAGUUAAAAAGCUCGUAGUUGGAUUUCUGGUAGGAGUGACCGUUCCGAACUUGAUUGUUCGUGUAUUGUGUUUUCUCCAGCCAUCCUUGUGGAGAACUUUUCUUGCAUUAAUUUGUAGGGAUUGGGACCCGCAUCGUUUACUGUGAAAAAAUUAGAGUGUUUAAAGCAGGCAAUCGCUUGAAUACAUUAGCAUGGAAUAAUAAGAUAGGACUUUGGUACUAUUUUGUUGGUUUGCAUACCAAAUUAAUGAUCAACAGGGACAGUUUGAGGAUAUUCGUAUGAACAUGUCAGAGGUGAAAUUCUUGGAUUUUGAUCAGACGAACUACUGCGAAAGCAUUUAUCAAGGAUGUUUUCAUUAA